CGAGACCAUAGGCGACGACGACGCCAUAAUUCGACAAACAACAACAACAACGACGCUAUAAGAUUUCCCAGUUCUGAUGUUGGAAGGAGUUUGCUGUUCAAUGACUUACAUCACCUGAUUUAAACAUUCUUAUUGACAACUCUGGCAGCCAUGGUGUGCAGUGGACUGGAACCAUUUAACAAAUUUUGGUUAAUGACCACCCAAGGAACAUUUCUGUCAAGUUUCAUCAAAAUCUGAUCAUCAGUUUCUGAGGAGAAGUGGUGUAAAGGUUUUUCCUAUUUUUAGCUCUGGCUGCCAUGUUGUGCAGCGGAACGGAACCAUUUGGGCCAUUUUGUCAAAGACUUUGUUGAGAUGACCCUUGUUAUUAAGUCUCAUAAAGAUUAUGUCAAAAUUGUGACGAGAUAGAAUCGACUUGGUGUUUCACUUACACUUUUCGGCCAUUUAAGUUACUAAAAAUAGCUGUUUCAUAAACUUUCAGAAUGUCACUUAAACGAAAAUUAAUGUUCAGUCUAUAUAUACUUUCCUAUGUAUAAAUGUAAGGUUUUUAAAUUGAUCUUUUUGUGAGAACUUUAUGCUUAUAUGUUUACUCAUAAAUUAUUAUUGUUUACAAAUUAUUUAAAGAUGCUAUACGUGAAAAAUUAAGACAUUAUUUUUUUUUCUAUUAAAGGGAGGUAAUUCAGUAGUAAAAUGUAAUCAAAGCUAUUAAAGCAUGGCAUUUCUUUUCUUACCAUGUUGAUAUUAUUACAGUCUAUUC